rnacentral:tRNA from 1 species
CUGGGAAUGGCUCAGUGGUAGAGUGCUUGCCUUGCAUGCAUGAGGCCCUGGGUUCGAUUCCUUAGUACCACA